AGAGUUUGAUCCUGGCUCAGGACGAACGCUGGCGGCGUGCUUAACACAUGCAAGUCAACGACACUUAUGUAGCAAUAUGUACGUGGAGUGGCGCACGGGUGAGUAACGCGUAUGUAAUCUGCCUUUGGCUCUGGAAUAACACCUCUAACGAGAUGCUAAUACCGGAUGAUGCAGCGGCACCGCAUGGUGACAGUUGUUAAAGCUUCGGCGGCCAUAGAUGAGCAUGCGUUUGAUUAGGUAGUUGGUAAGGUAACGGCUUACCAAGCCUUCGAUCAAUAGCUGGUCUGAGAGGAUGAUCAGCCACACUGGGACUGAGACACGGCCCAGACUCCUACGGGAGGCAGCAGUGAGGAAUAUUGCGCAAUGGACGAAAGUCUGACGCAGCAACGCCGCGUGCGGGAUGAAGGCCCUUUGGGUCGUAAACCGCUGUAGAAGGGGAAAAAUAUCCACCUCAGGUGGAUUGAUGGUACCCUUAAAGUAAGCCUCGGCUAACUACGUGCCAGCAGCCGCGGUAAUACGUAGGAGGCGAGCGUUGUCCGGAUUUACUGGGUGUAAAGGGUCCGCAGGCGGACCAUUAAGUCGAGGGUGAAGUCCUACAGCUUAACUGUAGAACUGCCUUCGAUACUGACGGUCUUGAAUAU
rnacentral:rRNA from 1 species